UUUCGUUACAGCAAUUUUUCA
rnacentral:piRNA from 1 species